GGCUCCUCAAGCAAGGACUCAUGGGAUCCCAGUGAGAGCAGACUGCGCCGGGCCUCUGGCUGGACUCCGCUUGGAGCUCGCGGAUUGCUGUGUGGAAGCAGUUUCUGUUUAGAGUGCCGGGUGCUGGGAGGCAACAGUGAGCUUUAACUAAUUACUCCUCGGAUCACCCCCAGGAGGCAGUCAUGGGAGAACCUGCUCUCUAAAGAGCUUGCUACUCUGCCUCCACCUGCUGGGGGGUUAUCCGGACCUGCCCUGUGCCAAGAACUCCGAUGCCUUCUGGGUGAAGACCGUGGCUCUCUUUCCUUCUUUCCUGUCCCUUGUCUUCCCUUCUGUCUGUGGCACGCCAGAGAUAUCACCCCAGUCCCUCUUUAUGUUGGAUCUGUACACAUUCCUCCACUGACGGCUGGCAAGUCCCAGCAGGAGUUGGGACGGGAGUAGCCAGGUUGGCAAUCAUUGCAUACAAGGCAAACCCAAUCGAAGACAUACCUCGCUGACUCAAAGAAAACAUAGGUGAACUAGUACAAUUGUCUCACCUCCAGAACCAGGUAGAUCCCUUGGCAGCACUGGUUCUUCAAAACUGCCAAGGAUUAGACCUCCUCGCUGCCGAUAAAGGAGGACUUUGCCUCUUUCUCAGUGAAAAGUGUGGCUUUUACACCAGUAAGUCAGGUGUGGUAAAAGAGGAGACUGAAUGUAUUAAAAAUGCACUAAUGAAAUCUAUUCUGAAAAUAGCCCACCUCAUCAUUUUGGAUAUAGCUGGCUGAUGUCUUUUCUGUCUCCUUUCUUCCUCAUAAUCAGAGUGUUUUUAUUCCUACCAUGUAUAAUCAACAUACCAAAAGUUCUAGAAGGAACCAGUGACUGCUGAGUCCUGAGCCAUCAUGCAGGAACAUCACAAGACUGCUCUUCUCCAAUCAAUCUGAUCCAUAAAACGGAUGCACCACCCUUCUUCAGCAGGAAGUGGCUUGAGAAAAGACAUGACGCCUCUUCUUCCUACCUAUCCUUGGAGUCAGGACUGAUGGAGAGUGAGAGCAGAUCUAAAGCACCCCACGGCUUUUCAGUUCCAGGCCUGCCUGACUGAGAGCAGAUCCCAACUGCUGCUCCAUUGAGAAACUUCCCAGCCAGCCCACCCUUGCCUCAGCUGUUAGCGCAUGCACACCAAAGCAGCUCCCACAAACCAGUUCAGCUUUGCCUAAUGCCCACCUAUGCAUGACCCUCAGCUGCCUCAACUACAUAAACUCCAGCCUGUAAGAGAAUGGGGCCCUCCACCCUUGCCUGGAGUAGGUCCCUCUCAGGUUUGUCUCUGAAUACACCUGUUCUGGUUGUUUGUGAUCUGUCUCCCUUUUGUCUCAACCCCAUACUCUAGCUGCUUCCAGGUCUCCCAUGUGGAUGCAGGUGCUCAAGCACCUGGGCCAUCUUCCACUGCUUUCCCAGGGACAUUAUCAGGGAGCUGGAUCAGAAGUAGAACAGCUGGGGCUUGAACUAGUGCCCAUAUGAGAUGCCAGUGUCACAGGUGGCAGCUUUACCUGCUAUGCCACAAUGCUGGUCACAAUAGUAGGCAACCUUUCUUAAAUUCUUGGAUCAAGAAUUCUAAGUCCCUUUUACUUUUUUAAAGAUUUGUUUUAUUUAUUUGAGAGAUUUACAGAGAGAAAAGGAGAGAUAGAGAGAGAGAGAGAGAGAGAGAGAGAGAUCCUCCAUCUGCUGGUUCACAACCCAAAUGGCCCCAACAGCCAGAGUUACAGAGAGAGGUAGAGCCAGAGAGAGAGAGAGGUCUUCCAUCUGCUGGUUCACUCCCCAAAUGACUUCAACGGCUAGAGCUGAGCUUAUCCAAAGCCAGGAGCCAGGAGCUUUCUCGAGGUCCCCCAUGCAGGUGCAGGGGCUCAAGGACUUGGGCCAUCUUCUACUGCUUUCCCAGGCCAUAGCAGAGAGCUGGAUUGAAAGUGGAGCAGCCGGGACUCAAACUGGCACCCAUAUGGGAUGCUGACACUGCAAGUGGAGGCUUUAACCCGCUGCGCCACAGUGCCAGCCCCAAGAGUAUAUAUUUUGGAAAACAGAUGCGUUUUUGGAGUAACACUAAAAUAUUCCAAAUUCUCCAGCUCGUGCCUGUGCACACAAGUCCUCCCCUGGCUGGCCAAAGCAGCUUUAGAACACCACUCUCAAUUAUGUGCGGGCAGGAAAACGCAAGUCCAAACACCAUGACACAUUUGUGCCAGGGAGUCAUCCAGAGCCUCAGAAAGCUGUGGAGUGUGUUAAAGUUCUUCAGGCCUUUGUGCUGGAAUUGCAUGCAAAUACAUGACUUCUGCCACUAGCGGGGUUUUGCCAGACUCCAUAAACUCCUGUUUCACGCACCAGCACCGUCUCGCAGAAGCCUGCUUCACAGUGUUGUAGAAUGCAGGUCGUGCCUCGGUUCUCACCUCCCAGUGCAGGCCGUCUCACCCAUCUUCACAACCGCAACACUUGGCAUAGGGACGUGGUAGACUCUUACUAAGUGCUGGGUGGAAGGAAGGCCAGCGGAGUAAAUGAUAGACAUAAAUGCUGUUCAUAUAAGGAAAAUAAAAAUCUGAUUUA